rnacentral:rRNA from 1 species
GUGUCAGCAGCCGCGGUAAUACGGGGGGAGCAAGCGUUGUUCGGAUUCAUUGGGCGUAAAGGGCGCGUAGGCGGCUUGGCAAGUCCGACGUGAAAUGUACCGGUUCAACCGGGGCACCGUGUCGGAAACUGCCUGGCUUGAGGCCGAGGGAGGAUGGUGGAAUUCCUGGUGUAGCGGUGAAAUGCGUAGAUAUCAGGAGGAACACCCGUGGCGAAGGCGGCCAUCUAUCUCGGAUCUGACGCUGAGGCGCGAAAGCUGGGGGAGCAAACGGGAUUAGAUACCCUCGUAGUCC